rnacentral:rRNA from 1 species
UGAGCAAUCUGCCCUUCUCUUCGGAAUAAGCGUGGGAAACCGCGUCUAAUGCCGAAUACGACCUCCUUUCGCAUGAUCGGAGGUGGAAAGCUCCGGCGGAGAAGGAUGAGCUCGCGGCCUAUCAGCUAGUUGGUGGGGUAAAAGCCCACCAAGGCGACGAUCCGUAGCUGGUCUGAGAGGAUGAUCAGCCACACUGGGACUGAGACGCGGCCCAGACCUGUACGGGA